GAUGAACGCUGGCGGCGUGCCUAAUACAUGCAGGUCGAGCGAACAGACGAGGAGCUUGCUCCUCUGACGUUAGCGGCGGACGGGUGAGUAACACGUGGAUAACCUACCUAUAAGACUGGGAUAACUUCGGGAAACCGGAGCUAAUACCGGAUAACAUGUUGAACCGCAUGGUUUAACAGUGAAAGACGGUCUUGCUGUCACUUAUAGAUGGAUCCGCGCCGCAUUAGCUAGUUGGUAAGGUAACGGCUUACCAAGGCAACGAUGCGUAGCCGACCUGAGAGGGUGAUCGGCCACACUGGAACUGAGACACGGUCCAGACUCCUACGGGAGGCAGCAGUAGGGAAUCUUCCGCAAUGGGCGAAAGCCUGACGGAGCAACGCCGCGUGAGUGAAGAAGGUCUUCGGAUCGUAAAACUCUGUUAUUAGGGAAGAACAAAUGUGUAAGUAACUAUGCACGUCUUGACGGUACCUAAUCAGAAAGCCACGGCUAACUACGUG
rnacentral:rRNA from 1 species